CCUGAUGCAGCCAUGCCGCGUGUGUGAAGAAGGCCUUCGGGUUGUAAAGCACUUUCAGCGAGGAGGAAAGGUUGGGUGUUAAUAACCCUUAGCUGUGACGUUACUCGCAGAAGAAGCACCGGCUAACUUCGUGCCAGCAGCCGCGGUAAUACGAGGGGUGCAAGCGUUAAUCGGAAUUACUGGGCGUAAAGCGUACGCAGGCGGUUUGUUAAGCCAGAUGUGAAAGCCCCGGGCUCAACCUGGGAAUUGCAUUUGGAACUGGCAAACUAGAGUCUUGUAGAGGGGGGUAGAAUUUCAGGUGUAGCGGUGAAAUGCGUAGAGAUCUGAAGGAAUACCGGUGGCGAAGGCGGCCCCCUGGACAAAGACUGACGCUCAGGUACGAAAGCGUGGGGAGCAAACAGGAUUAGAUACCCUGGUAGUCCACGCCGUAAACGAUGUCUACUCGGAGUUUGGUAACUUAGUUACUGGGCUCCCAAGCUAACGCAUUAAGUAGACCGCCUGGGGAGUACGGCCGCAAGGUUAAAACUCAAAUGAAUUGACGGGGGCCCGCACAAGCGGUGGAGCAUGUGGUUUAAUUCGAUGCAACGCGAAGAACCUUACCUACUCUUGACAUCCACAGAACUUACCAGAGAUGCAUUGGUGCCUUCGGGAACUGUGAGACAGGUGCUGCAUGGCUGUCGUCAGCUCGUGUUGUGAAAUGUUGGGUUAAGUCCCGCAACGAGCGCAACCCUUAUCCUUAUUUGCCA
rnacentral:rRNA from 1 species